GACGAACGCUGGCGGCGUGCUUAACACAUGCAAGUCGAACGGAAAGGCCCUGCUUUUGUGGGGUGCUCGAGUGGCGAACGGGUGAGUAACACGUGAGUAACCUGCCCUUGACUUUGGGAUAACUUCAGGAAACUGGGGCUAAUACCGGAUAGGAGCUCCUGCUGCAUGGUGGGGGUUGGAAAGUUUCGGCGGUUGGGGAUGGACUCGCGGCUUAUCCGCUUGUUGGUGGGGUAGUGGCUUACCAAGGCUUUGACGGGUAGCCGGCCUGAGAGGGUGACCGGCGACAUUGGGACUGAGGGAAGGCACAGACUGGGACGGGAGGGAGCAGGGGGGAAGAUUGAAGAAGGGGCGGGGGGCGGGUGAGGAAGCGCCGCGUGUGGGAAGACGGCGUUCGGGUGGAAGACCGGUUAGGCCAGUAACGGAGCGUGAGUGACGGUAAUGGGUGAAGAAGGCCCGGCUAAAUACGUG
rnacentral:rRNA from 1 species